UCCAAUAUGGCCACAGCAAACUUGUGAAGAAACUUUUAAUUUGAACUUGGCCACCGAUAACAAUGCAGCAAAGUUGUGGCAGCCCGCGCAGGGAGCGGGGAAACGCCAAUCUUCCUCACAUUGCAGUACAUAACCGUACUUCUUUGUAAGAACACCUCGCAAAACUUUGUCGCAAGUAAACUCCGCGAAGUGGCUAAGUCGGGUGCCGGGGCCCGUCGCCGCCGACCGCUCCCGCUGAUCGCUCCGCUCGCUCAGCUCCUCCCCCCGCUCCACUGCGAACAACGAUCCGCCUCCGACAAACAAACGGACAAGUUUUAAUGUUUUGCUCACAAAGUGUAUGAUUAAACGCGGAGAGCGGCGGAGAGAGUCGGCCGUAAGUUAUUGAUUUUCCCCGACCGAACCCCUGUCGGCUACGAGGCUCGCGGUGCAGUUCCGAAGCGCUACGAGGUUAUACCACUUUUUAACUCUUCAAAAACGCGAUUAAAACUACUUUUGUAGAUAGCCAUGUACUCCAAAUUACUUUUUAUGACCUAUUCAAAUAUUCACGUGUGCCAAAAGAAGUGUAUACAAGUUUUAUAUGUAAGUUACAAUGAGAAAAGUUGGUGUUUGCUGCGCAACUGUACCGCUGGCGGCACGCGUCGCGCACCCUACAACUUCACGUCGCUCUACGUUCCGAAGUUAACGCAAAGUUCCGCCAUUUUGGAACAUGCUCACAACCCACUUGUUUUAUAAAGAAACUUUUUAUUAAUUCCUGUGGGCCGCGGAGUGUCAGUAAGAUGUUUUGAGGUUAUGCUGAAAGACGAAAGACCGUAUUCUGACUCGGAGGUGUAGUUCUAGUGUUAUUGUGACUGUGUGGAGCCUGGAUACGAGUGUUUGUGUUCAUUUGAGAUAUUGUUUUGAAGUGUAACUCGAGUGACGUACCUUGGAUGCUCUUGUAAUUUGUGUUUACUUCUGGCAACGGAGAGGAGGACGCUCGGAGCUGUGUUGUGACCUUGCCUAUGGAUCAGGCACGCGAUCUGUGACAGCAGAAUGUCACGCAAGUCCAGGCAGGGGUACAGCAUCCGGCAUCUCCUGCAGCUGCCCAAUGCUCCCCGCAGCCCGCCGGCCGCACCGCAUCCCCCCGCACCAUGUAUCAAGGCGUCUCUGCGACAUCGAAUGCCCUCUCCGUCCGAUCAAGAUGCACACGACUACAACGACGACGACGACGCGAACAAGAAUGAAUACGAAGUACAGAUAACACACAAGUUAUUCAGGCCGUCCACAUCAAAAACGACGGUGCCGCUAACUACGCAAGCCUCCUUGUCUCAGAUCAACAAGAGGAGGCUGGAGUUCGGUGUGGAUGUAGAAACAUUUAGAACUAACGAUAGACGCCUGGAGCGCAUCAGCAGUGAGGGCUCCAUGGACGAGGAGGAAAUCCAUGGCAAGAGAAGACGACGCCUUCUAGAUGACGAGCGACGAGAAGAGCCCGAUGUGCGCCGGCGACCGUUACCUAUGCACCGGCCGCAGACCUUGCGGCAGCCUGAGGAAGAUGAUGAAACACUCAUCCGCGAGACACAAGCCGCGCUAAGAACUCUCUCUGGCAACUGGACCCGAGAACAACCGCAGUCGCAUAGUGGUGAUGAAAACGAAGAUGCCAACGGCUUUGAAAACCUUUUUGAUGAUAAACGUUCGGAAAAAAUACCGUCUUCCCCUUCACAGUCGUCCGACAUGUCACAAAAAAGCUUCUCGCGUCACCAGGCCCAACACAUGAAUGGCAUUGGCAGUGACCACGAAACCAAAACUAACCUCAUAACAAUAGAAAUAGAAAAGUGUGAAGAUUACGAAAGACUAAGUAGACAGUCCACUCAGUAUGGUGCUCCAAAUUUCGAUGAGCUCGUCGAUUCGUCUUCCAACGAACUUGAGAUAGAUAUGUCAGAUAGAUGUGACGAUAAGUACGAUGACGACAGGGAUAUUAAGCCAAAACGAAAAGGUGAAAUGGUGUCUGUAAAUAAACAGUCUUUGUAUAAUGCAUACAAGGCAGCGACGGCUGCGUUGCCGUAUUCCACGCAGUCAGCGUUCAAGCCACCCGCCGAAGUGAAGCACAGGAUUCAUAACUCGUCGUUGCCAAGUGAACCCUUCGGCGGGUACUCGAACGAGCACGACAGGAAGGAGCACAAGGGCUCGAAGCAGUACACGGUGCUGCAGCCGGCGGGCGCGGGGUCGCGGGCCGCCACGGCGCUGCAGGAGGCGCGCGCCGUGCCCUCGGCGCAGCCGGCGCGCGACUCGCGCCCGGUCACCGCGCUCUCCCCGCCGGCACGAGAAGGCAACAAGUGUCCCACACCCGGGUGCAAUGGGCAGGGCCACGUCACCGGCCUAUACACUCACCACAGGAGUCUGUCAGGAUGUCCAAGAAAGGAUAAAGUCACUCCAGAGAUAUUGGCGUUGCACGAGACGAUAUUGAAGUGCCCCACCCCGGGGUGCAACGGGCGCGGUCACGUCAGCUCCAACCGAAGCACGCAUCGCUCCCUGUCGGGGUGCCCCACUGCCGCGGCGCGCAAAGCCGCUGCCAGGUCGCAGAGAGCCAGGCCUUCAGUGUCCCACAGUUCAAUAUCGCAGCCCCCCAUUGCGAUCAGCCAGGAGAGUGUAGCGAGUUCUUCGGGUAGCAUAUCCCGGGAUCGCGAGGCCUCGCCUCGCAGCCCCGCCGUGAAGCGAGAGGGCGAACUGCUGGUGCCCAAGCGCGAGGCCGCCGAGCCCGAGCGCGACUCCCCCAGCAUGGAGACGCGCCAUGCCGGCUACGGCGCGCCGCCAGACCAGAGGUCCCCUUAUGAACGACCGCCUGAUGACCAUGUGCGGUCCUACAGUCAAAUGAAUGAGGCGCGAUACGGCUACGAGUCGCGGUGCUACGAGGGCGCCCCCGCCUUCGAGCGCUACGACCCCGCGCAGUGCCCCCAGAGGCCCUACGGCUGGGAGGAAGAGCGCUACCACGACCCGCACCUACCCACCCCCAUGAAAACUGACCAGUCUGAACAAGAAACCAGCUCCGGACCUAUAUACCCUAGACCAAUGUACCACUACGAGGCUGGUAGCGGCGUGGGCGCCGUGGGUGCCGUGGCGGCGAUGGGCCCCGGCGUCCCGCCCGGGUUCUCCGCGAUCAACCUCUCGGUGAAGAUCGCCGCAGCGCAGGCGCAGCGACCGCGCAGCCCCACGCCGCGGGAUCCUCGUGAUCCUCGCCCCGCCAUAGAUCUUUCCACUUCUAGUGGCAGUCCACAGGGUCCAUACGCAUCUCCGGUGUACACAAGCGCCGGUGGUGGCAGCGGGGGCGGAGCGCGAGGCAGCCCGCAGCCGGGAGCUUCGCCUCAGCUCACAGCCAGCCCCCAGGUGCCCAGUCCGCAGGGCCAGACCCUCGACCUUAGCGUUUCCCGUUUACCACAUAGUCGAGGUUUCCCCGGUGGAGUAUCCUACAGUCGAGAAUCAACUCCCGACAGCGGCGGCAGCCAUCCAUACCUUGAAGCCUACCAUCGAGACACCGCCGGUUACGGCGGGGUCAGUCCACAUCCCGUGGCAGGCUACGGGCUCGCUCAGCCGGACUACGCCGCAGCAGCCGCAGCGGCCGGCUACGGGGGCUACCAGUACCAAUGCGGGGCCUACCCCCCGCCGCCCGCGUACCCCCCGCACGCGCCUCCCUACUCCCCGCCGUGCUACAUGCCGCCCCCUCACGCCCCGCACGACAAGCCCAAAGAUAGCAGUUUGUUUAUGUGCAGCCUGUCCGGUUGUCCGCGCGCCGACCGCUCCCAGCUCCAGCCGCAUUCCCAGGAGCUCAAGUGCCCCACGCCCGGCUGUGACGGCUCCGGACACGUCACUGGCAACUACUCGUCGCACCGCUCGCUGUCCGGCUGCCCUCGAGCCAACAAGCCCAAGAGCAAGCCCAGGGACGGACAGGACUCCGAGCCGCUCAGAUGCCCUAUACCGGGCUGUGAUGGAUCUGGACACGCUACAGGGAAAUUCUUGUCACAUCGAAGCGCAUCGGGGUGCCCAAUCGCGAACCGCAAUAAAAUGCGAGUGCUGGAAAGUGGUGGCACAGUGGAGCAACACAAGGCAGCUGUAGCGGCGGCCGCCUCGGCUAUCAAGUUUGACGGAGUCAACUGCCCGACGCCUGGUUGUGACGGAUCGGGACACAUCAACGGAUCGUUUCUAACGCACCGCUCGCUGUCUGGCUGCCCAGUAGCAGGCGCAGCGACGCCCACGCCGCAACCAAAGAAACCCAAAUAUCCGGACGAUAUCACACCAUUGUACCCAAAGCCAUAUACAGAUAAUGUUCUGGAAUUCAGGGAUGGAGAUGAAUAUGCAGACGGGGAACGGCGAGGAUCUGAUGACCCUCGAGCAGGAGAUUACGGAACUGCAGCGAGAGAACGCGCGCGUAGAGUCGCAGAUGAUGCGGCUCAAAUCAGAUAUCAACGCUAUGGAGACACACCUUUCACAUGGAGAUAGGAUGGUACUGUCAUGGCUCGAAACAUCCAACUUUGAGUGCUACUAACACAACACCUAUUUGAGAAUCAGACAUUAAUACAGCGCAACAAUAAUCUGAAUGAGUACUACGAGAGCUUGCGGAACAACGUGAUCACUCUGCUG
rnacentral:misc_RNA from 1 species